AUCCUGGCUCAGGAUAAACGCUGGCGGCGCACAUAAGACAUGCAAGUCGAACGAACUUAACUCAUUCUUUUAGAUUGAGAGCGGUUAGUGGCGGACUGGUGAGUAACACGUAAGCAACCUGCCUAUCAGAGGGGAAUAACAGUGAGAAAUCAUUGCUAAUACCGCAUAAGCUAGUAGUAUCACAUGAUACAGCUAGAAAAGGAGUAAUCCGCUGAUAGAUGGGCUUGCGCCUGAUUAGCUAGUUGGUGGGGUAACGGCCUACCAAGGCGACGAUCAGUAGCCGAACUGAGAGGUUGAACGGCCACAUUGGGACUGAGAUACGGCCCAGACUCCUACGGGAGGCAGCAGUCGGGAAUAUUGCGCAAUGGAGGAAACUCUGACGCAGUGACGCCGCGUAUAGGAAGAAGGUUUUCGGAUUGUAAACUAUUGUCGUGAGGGAAGAAGAUGACAGUACCUCAGGAGGAAGCUCCGGCUAACUAUGUG
rnacentral:rRNA from 1 species